UUGAGAUUUUAGAUCAUCAGAUGCGUAGACUAAGGAAUAAAUAAUUUCCCUUGGUCAAAGUUCUUUGGCAGAAUCAGUUAGUUUAGGGCGCUACUUGGUAAGAGAAGCAGAUAUGCGAGCCAAGUACCCUCAGAUCUUCUUCGCAAACUCAGAUUUAGCUGAAGGUAGCACUCUUCCUUAAUCCAGUUCCUUACUAAUCAUAGAUUCAGCUAUGUAGUUUUCCUCAUGUAAGUUUAUGUACUCAUAGAAUUACUCAAAAGCUCAGAAUGAUUUAGAUUCAGUUGUGCAAUUUGUUUCAGUUGUGCAUGCUAUCAUAUAUCCUCAGUAUCCUUAGUCAAACUAGCCAUAUUCGAGGAUGAAUGAUUCCAAGAGAGAGAUAUUGUAACACCCUGUACUUUUUCUAGUUCAAGUUAGUAUUGGAAAUGUAAAGAGUUAGCUUCCAGAGAGAAUGACUUUUUAUACAUCUAGAAUUUUCCGGAUUUACACCCUCCAAUGUGUAGAAAAUUGAAUUAUCUUUCCAAAGAUAUAAGAUUCUCCUAAAUUUGAUAAUCGAGUAAGAAGUUAUGUUUAUUUUAAGUUUCAAUCAUAAAACACCGUGAUUUGGGCCCGUGGCUCAUCGCGGAGAAGUGUAAGAUGACAAUUGUCAAUUUCCAGUAAGAUUCCACGAUUGUGGUAGAUCGCAGAGAGGUCCAAAUUUCCAAUUGUCGAAUUCUAGUGGCACUCCACGAUAUUGUCGCAUCGCGCCAGAGGACAAAAUAGCAAUCAAAAGGGCACUGCAAUGGUGGCGCGUCAUGGUGAAUUCCCAGUUCUCACUUGUCCUUUUCCAGUGAUCCACUGCUAUAGUGGUGCAUCGCGGUGGCCUAGUAAUUCAAUAUUGAGGAUCCCCAAUUCAAAACUCUAAGAAUUCAUCUCCAAAGCAUCAAUAGAGAUCCAAGAUUCAAGCUUUUCAUCUAAGAUCAUCAAUUAAGGUAUGUGGGGUUAUGAACAAGGACAAUCCUUUCGUCCUUAUCUCCAAAACUUAUUUUAAUUUUAAUUUUACUUAAUUUUAUAUGAUUUUCCUAUAAAAUUCAAGUUGGGGUUUAUACCCAUUAUUCUUAUUUACAAGCUCAUGAGAUAUUCAGUGAUUUAGAAGUUGCAUUACAGUGAUUAUGUUCCUAUUUUCAUGCAUAUUGCAGUAAUUUCAAGAUUUUGAAUUAAGUUAUCAAUUUUUACAUUAUCAAGCAUGAACAUUAUAAUAUUUUAACAUGAGUUUGAUACAUGGGUCACUAAGUGCUAAUUAAAGAUUGCUAUUUCGAGAUUUGUUGUACUAUAAGCACCUUAUGACUAGAUUCUUCUCAGAUUAUAGAUAAAGAUUUAACCUUUUGGUCUUAGAAUAGAUAUGAAAAAUCCACGUUACAGAUUCAGAUUACAAACUUAGCUUCACAGAUAUAUAGUUGGUUUUGAUUAUAAAUCAUUAUACUAUUUUAAAAAGGGGAUCUUCAUCAGAAUGAGCAUACAGAUUUAAUGGGAGUAGUAUUUAGCACCGAGAUGGGUACAUUACUACGGUUUCAUAACCCAGAACUAUGUGCCAAUGUAGGAUUCAUGAUUUGUUCCCACUUCUAUAUGGGUGAUAGAUAUGUGAUCACUCAGAUAGGUUAUACUCCUUCGUAUGAGUAUGACUUCUCUCCCCAACGUGAGGAUUCCUCCUUAGGGGGACAAGAACGUUGGACUCCAAGAAUGAUCACAUGGUUUAUGUCGGUUAGAAGAAUCUCCCAUGCAGAAAAAGUUUUCAGAUUUCUAAAACCCUAAGAUAAAGUGUUUUCUUUACGUCUUUAAAGUUCUGGAAUUUAGAACAUUGCUUUACAUAUGCCUUUAGAUACAGACUUACAGAUUUCACUUAGCCUAUAUGAUUUGAGAAUAAGAAUAGAUUACAGAUUUCAGAACUAAGUGUUAUGACUCACAAGAUUUACGUUAUAUGCUUUUAUAUUCAUGAUUUAUGAUCUUUAGAUUUCAAAUUUAAUCAAGCCUAUGUGAGUCAUUUACAUUUAGCAUGCAUUAUUUUACAAAUUGUGAUGACAUUGCUUACUUAUUGCAUUCGCCCCCAUAUGCUUAGUACUUUCCCAAAGUACUGAUCCACAUACACGCCUAUGUGCUACAUUGUCUCAUAAUGUAGGUUCAGGUUCUCGGUCUUAGCAGUGUGAGUGACUUUCGAGCAUCUCAUCUGCAUCUCUAUAGUUGGUGAGCACUCUUAGUUCGAGGACUUAGCUAUUCAAAUUUCCAGUUUAUUAGUAGAUGACUUAGCAUAUAUUUCAGAUAGUUUGAGUCAACUGGGGCCUAUCCCAGUGACUCUCUAAAUUUAGUAAGUCGAGGCUUGUUGGACUACUAGAUUUAAUUUUAGAUAUUAGAUGCAGCAUUCAGAUU